GCUGGGCACGGUGGCUCAGGCCUGUAAUCCCAACGGCUCAGGAGGCUAAGGCAGGAGGAUCUCGAGUUCAAAAGCGAGACACUAAGCAACUCAGUGAGACCCUGUCUCUA
rnacentral:sRNA from 1 species